rnacentral:lncRNA from 12 species
GGGGGGGGGGGGGGGGGGGGGGGGGGGGGGGGGUGAAGAGAGGCGAGCGGCCGCGGCGGCCUCGGCUGUGGAGCGGGCCGUGCCGUGCCGUGCCGUGCCGUGCCGUCGGAGUGCCAGGGCGGCCGUGGGACGGGGCGAGCGCGGCGCCUCCGCCCCGCGUUCUGCUCGGCGCGGGGCGCGGGGGCAGCGCCCUCGGCCUCCCGUGACCUGCCGAAAGCCGUGUGCCCCGGCGGAGCCUGCCCGGCCAAGGUAAAGGCAGCCCGUGGCGCCGUUUGUUCUUCUGCCCUGCUCGGCUGUGUCAGGUUCGGCAGCGGGCCCGUGUGGCAGCGCAGCCCCCGGGGGGGGGGGGGGGGGGGGGGGGGGGGGGGGGGGGGGGGGGGGGGGGGCAGCGCAGCCCCCGGCCGAGAAGGCUGGCGGGGUCCCGGGAUGGAGCUGCCGCAGCGGGGUACAGCUUAGGCUACGGGCUGGCAGGAGAACGCUCAUCUGAAAUCUGCGAGAAUACUGCAGGCAGAAGGUGGGCUGCUGGUAUAUUCUCAAGGGAAAAAUAAUCUCGAAAGUAACCACCGUGAAUUUAUGGUGUUGUCCUGUAUUAGUAAAGAGUGCGCAGCUACAGCUGGAGGCAGUAUCCUUUACCUGGGAAUCGCUUGUACUUUUAGGAAGUCUUGCGUAUGUACCGAGAGAAACACAGAAGUUCCUCUUCCAAAGGGGAUCUUCCCUGCUCUUUUCUGUGCAUUAGAGCCCCUAUCCACACUCGGCUCGGGAGUGAGAAUCUUUCCAUUGACAGCAGUAAGAAUCGCUCCAUUGACUUCACAGGCUUGGAUCAGGCCCUUGGAAAUUCUUUUUACAAAGCAUUUUAGAGACCUGGAUAUGAACUGGAAGGGCCACCACUGA